CACCGCGGUUAUACGAGAGGCCCAAGUUGAUGACCCUCGGCGUAAAGCGUGGUUAAGAACUGCCUUAAAACUAAAGUCGAAUGCCCUCAAAGCUGUUAUACGCAUCCGAAGGUAAGAAGCCCAACAUACGAAAGUGACUUUACAACUCUGAACCCACGAAAGCUAAGAUA
rnacentral:rRNA from 2 species